AUCUCUUUAUCAGUAAUGAUAAAAAAAGAGGCACAGAUUUUUGCAAGAACGUUGAGUCGCUUCGCCUUCGUGUUUUCCACUGGCGCAGUGAAUUUUGUUCUGCUAAAUCAUCUAUUUUAUCUUUUUAAUUUUGUUUCGAGUUUUAAAUUAUAAAUUUUUAUUACUGUGGGAUCCUAUGAUGGCAUGAAAUCUUUGAGACCUGAUUGUCAUAUUUGAUGACAACUAUAAGCAUAUUCGCUGAGGAUCCACCAUAAUUUUUAUUACUUGUUUUUUAAUUAGCGUUUGUGAUAGAAAUUUUAAAAAAUAGAAAGUGCAUUAGAAUGAUGAAAUAAGCACUGGGCUCUGAGCAGUUUUAUUAAUUAACUGUUUUUUGAUGCACAUUGCUAGCCUAGAAAGCUAUUUCUGACUA